rnacentral:tRNA from 1 species
GUUGUGGCUCAGUGGUAGAGUACUUGCCUAGCAUGCAUAAGGCACUGGGUUUGAUCCUCAGCACGACA